ACAGAGGAUGCAAGCGUUAUCCGGAUUUAUUGGGCGUAAAGUGUCUGUAGGUGGCUUUUCAAGUCCGUCGUCAAAUCCCAGGGCUCAACCCUGGACAGGCGGUGGAAACUGACAAACUAGAGGACGGUAGAGGCAGAGGGAAUUUCCGGUGGAGCGGUGAAAUGCGUUGAGAUCGGGAAGAACACCAGCAGGCGAAAGCGCUCUGCUGGGCCGUCACUGACACUCAGAGACGAAAGCUAGGGGAGCGAAUGGG
rnacentral:rRNA from 1 species